GAGUGUGCGUUGGAAGCAGACGUACAGUACAGUAAUCAACUGACACCCAGAGAUCAAAAUUCAGAAGUGAUCCCACUGUCAAGUCACUGGCUGUGUAGGAGUACCCAUACUUGCGUCCUAAAUAGUAGGCUGUUUGAGUAUGCGAAAACAAAACAUUUUAUAGUCCGUGAAUUUUCGAAAUUCAAGUAUGAGUUAAACGCAUACACAGCCACAAUGCAUUGGAAUAGGGGGGCUGCGAGUUUAGACAGCUAGAUCUCUUUAAGUAAGAAACAAAACAACAUGUAAGAUGGCGAAUAGCAAAGCUUCUGCGGUGGUGUUCAAUCUCCACAGGCAAAUUGCCCAUCUGCACACUUCACUUCCCUUCAUUGAAUGGUGAUUCAUCGCCCACAAUGCGUUCAAAGGAUUGACCAUGCCUCCACAGCCAAAGUUCUAUGGUUUGCAUGCCCUGCGAAGGACCCAAGUAUACGGUCAUAAUAGGUGCUUGGAGUUCGUCGUUCCCCAAGUCUGCACCAGUAACGGUAGCUUGGUGUGCAACGACCGGUGGUGGCCCUCCCAGUCAACACCACCUCAUAAGAUGAGGAAGUACCUUGUUUAUGAGGAUUGCCUGCUGCAGUUGUUCGAGAUGUCCAGUUUGCAGCCGAACAUGCAACAUAGAGAAGACCAGCAAGGGGACCCUAAGCAUCACGCAGACAUGCCCUCGCUGUGAGAAUUCCUAGACAGUCGAAGUCGGUUUACAUACACUUAUUUUGGAGUCAUUAAAACUCGUUUUUCAACCACUCCACAAAUUUCUUGUAACAAACUAUAGUUCUGGCAAGUCGGUUAUGAUAUCUAUUUUGUGCAUGACACAAGUCAUUUUUCCAACAAUUGUUUACAGACAGAUUAUUUAACUUAUAAUUCACUGUAUCAAUUCCAGUGGGUCAGAAGUUAACAUACACUAAGUUGACUGUGCCUUUAAACAUCUUGGAAAAUUCCAGAAAAUGAUGUCGUGGCUUUAGAAGCUUCUGAUAGGCUAAUAUACAUAAUUUGAGUCAAUUGGAGGUGUACCUGUGGAUGUAUUUCAAGGCAUUUCUUCAAACUCAGUGCCUCUUUGCUUGACAUUAUGGGAAAAUCAAAAGAAAUGAGCCAAGACCUCAGAAAAGAAUUGUAGACCUCCACAAGUCUGGUUCAUCCUUGGGAGCAAUUUCCA